rnacentral:rRNA from 1 species
AGGAUGAACGCUAGCGGGAGGCUUAACACAUGCAAGUCGAGGGGCAUUCUGAUCCGAGUAAUCGGGAUUGGGAACGACCGGCGCACGGGUGAGUAACGCGUAUGCAACCUGCCCUGUACUGGAGGAUAGCUCUCGGAAACGGGAAUUAAUACUCCAUGAUGAUAUACUGGGGCAUCCCGGUAUAUUUAAAACUCCGGUGGUACGGGAUGGGCAUGCGUAACAUUAGCUAGUUGGUAAGGUAACGGCCUACCAAGGCUACGAUGUUUAGGGGGCCUGAGAGGGUGAUCCCCCACACUGGUACUGAGACACGGGCCAGACUCCUACGGGAGGCAGCAGUGAGGAAUAUUGGUCAAUGGGCGCAGGCCUGAACCAGCCAUCCCGCGUGCAGGAAGAAGGCGUUAUGCGUUGUAAACUGCUUUUGCAGGGGACGAAAAACCCCGACGUGUCGGGGCUUGACUGUACCUUGUGAAUAAGCAUCGGCUAACUCCGUG